UGGGGAAUUUUGGACAAUGGGGGAAACCCUGAUCCAGCCAUCCCGCGUGUGCGAUGAAGGCCUUCGGGUUGUAAAGCACUUUUGGCAGGAAAGAAACGUCAUGGGUUAAUACCCCGUGAAACUGACGGUACCUGCAGAAUAAGCACCGGCUAACUACGUGCCAGCAGCCGCGGUAAUACGUAGGGUGCAAGCGUUAAUCGGAAUUACUGGGCGUAAAGCGUGCGCAGGCGGUUCGGAAAGAAAGAUGUGAAAUCCCAGAGCUCAACUUUGGAACUGCAUUUUUAACUACCGGGCUAGAGUGUGUCAGAGGGAGGUGGAAUUCCGCGUGUAGCAGUGAAAUGCGUAGAUAUGCGGAGGAACACCGAUGGCGAAGGCAGCCUCCUGGGAUAACACUGACGCUCAUUCACGAAAGCGUGGGGAGCAAACAGG
rnacentral:rRNA from 1 species